rnacentral:lncRNA from 1 species
AAAGUCUUCUUUAUCUAUGAUGAUUCUGAUUCGACUAGGCUCAACUAGGUGACUCCUGUAUGCGGCGAGACUAGAGACACGAAGUAGAAUGUUCGAACCGAAUGGUAUCCAAGGGAAAUGAACAACCUAAGGGAGCGCCAUCUUUCUAUUAGGAGAUCGGCCCCAAGUCUGACCCUCGCCAUUACUCUUAAGGUUACAGCCUCUUACUCAAUUGAUUAGUUCUACCACCCCAAGGGUUUAGCGUGGACCAAGUGUAUUUGUUGAAACCAUAAAAAAAAUGCGCGGAAGAGCUCUUGACUUAUUGUAUGCACACUGAUGAGCGAAGGGGCUUUCAAGGAAGGCUAUUCAAUAGGGUCAACCGGAGAUCGACUGAGUUGGAGAUGAAGAAUUCAGCGCCCUUCCGAUCGGUCUCGCGAUCAGUUGAGAUGUUUUUAAGGCGCUUUUGAGGCCUUAAUCGCGGAGAAGAGUUCUCUAAUCUAAACUUGAAGUUGGUAACCAUGAGGCUUCAAGAUCCCAUACACGUGUUCCUCGGCUAAGGACUUCUGCAAAACCUCUUCGGAUUGCGUGAAGUGAUCCUUGUAAUGCCAGGAUGGGGACUCUCUCUUUUCUGAAUCUCUCCUCUUCUCCGGACUCUU